ensembl:lncRNA
UUUUUUUUUUUUUUUUUGAUACGUUCAGCCUCGAGAUGCAAAGGAACUGGGGAAAGGACACCAGUUAAGGAGCACAAGCUAAGCAACAGGAUGUUUCCGUGGGGCCUGGAAAAUCCAGGGACAAGCCCUGUGUGGGUAGACUGAGCUGGCAGCUGGGCUGGAAAGACGGACCCACAAGUCGAGGUGGCUUUGAAAUGAAUGCAUUUGACCCAAGAGCUGAGGAGGUCGCAACCCCAAAGCAAUCUGAAGUCCUGUCUCUUUCCUGGGCUGAAAUGAGCUGGGAUUUCUCCAGCGGCCCUCAGGGACGGGCAGACAGCAGAAGGGCUAGUGCCCCGGGAGGGCCUCCCUGGAAGCUUAAAAUGAAAAGGAUCCUGGACCCCAGCCCUCGGUUCGAGGAAUGCUGGGUAAUUGUUCAAUGCCUGACAAUUUCCUCGUCUUGAAAAUGAGAGUAACAUGGAGUUCCCAUUGUGGCUCAGCAAGUUAAGAACCUGACUAAUAUCCAUGAGGACGCGGGUUUGAUUCCAGGCCUCCAUCAGUGGGUUAAGGAUCCAGCGUUGCCAUGAGCUGUGAUGUAGGUUGCAGAUGGGGCUCGGAUCCUGUGCGGCUGUGGCUGUGGUGUAGGCCGGCAACUGCAGCUCCGAUUUGACCCCUAGCCUGGGAACCUCCGUACACCAUGGGUUUGGCCUUAAAAAGAAAAAAAAAAUAAAAAUGAAAGUGAGAAUAACAAAAUCACCUCCCCCCAGCUGUUAGGACGAUGCCAUAAAGCGACACCGGGGAAGCGAGGGGGUGGAAUCGACCUCCCUCGGUAUUUGCUCCCCUUCACCCCAGGGGUGACAUACACGAACCCGAACUCAUUUUGCAUUUCCAGGUCUCCAGCAAACAUACUUCCUGCGGCACUACCGCCCCAAUUCCGCUAGAAAACAAAGCUUCUCCUUUGCCCUGCAGCUGUCACCUCCUCGGUCCCCCCCAGAUCGAAAACUUCAGAAAUGUUGACUUGUCGGCUCCACUCUGUGUUCUGCCCUGGGAGGUCCCGGCUCUUGUUUUCUCACCCACGUUGCCUUCCGUGGUUCAGACAUUCUCUCAAUAUUUGUGUUUGCAAAGUUCCAUCCCCGGGCCUGAACUCCCUCCAAAGUUCUCAGGGCCCGGAUCCAAGCAGCCUGCGAGCAUGUCCCCUUACCUCACCCAACACUCCACUUGUUUGUUUGGCCAGCAAAUAUGUAUGGAAUGUUGCUAAGUGCCAAAUCCUGUGCCGGGACCGUGGUUUUCAGCUAAAUGAGAAACAGUUCAGCCCUCAGGGAGCUCCCGUCCAGGGGGAGAUGGAUUAUGCGAUGAUAGUGGCACUCCCGCCCGGGUCCCGGGGGAUGCAGCAGGCCAGGCGCUGCCUGAGGACAGAUCCGGGGCCUGGCCACGCAGAGCGAGGGGUGCACCAGGAGUUCCUGGCGGGCGCUGGCCACUCUGCCAACAGAAGGGAAGCUCUGACAGUGAGCCCGGCCGAGAGGCAGAGCGGAGAGGAGAGCGCUUUGGCCAGCACUGGGCUGCCGGGCUCUGGCCUCGCCAACAUCCCGCGCUCGGCUCACGGGCUGUGGGAACCGAGAUCCAGGUGCCCCAAGUUGCUUUGGGAAGAGAUGGGGGUUGGGGGGAGACGGCGUGGGCUGAUGUCCCCCAGACACCCUGGUUAA